ACUCACAAAGCCACAAGCAACAAAUCCACCCAUCCGCCUCCCUCUCCACCCGGUGCGCGAGCGAGGAGGCCAAGGACCCACGCCCACAGCCCCCAUCGCCGAUUCGCCGUUCCGCGGGGGCGGGGAGGAUUCCGUUUCCGUCCCUCGUUUCUGGUGCUUUGAUCUCCCCAAGGCGGCAGCCGGCAGCGCCGAGCGCGCCGCGGGAGGUUGGUUGGUGGAUAGUUGGUGGCGGCUUCACUCCCUCCACUGCCCUGGUCUGGUCAAAUCUAAAUGGCGGCCAAUAAUAGCAGCGACCCGAUCCAGCACCAGGAGGAGCUGGGGGAGGGAGGAGGAGCAGGCGUGAAGCACGAGGCGGAGGAAGAGGGGGAGGGGGCGUCUUCCUCCGCGGCGCAGGCAGCCGCGACCACGAUGCUGCCCCGGUCGAGCUCGCGGCCGCAGCUGGACCUCAGCGGCGCGGCGAUCCACGGGACGCUGGAGGACCGCAACCCCACCAUACUGCUGCCCAACCAGUCCGACGACAUAUCACACCUCGCCCUCGACAUCGGCGGUUCUCUUAUAAAGCUGGUAUACUUCUCACGGCAUGCUGAGCUCUCCACUGAGGAUAAACGUAAGAUAUCCACAAAGAGAAGGCUUGGAAUGUUUAAUGGUUGCAGGAGAAGUUACCCGAUUCUUGGAGGGAGGCUCCACUUUGUCAAGUUUGAGACUGGGAAGCUAAAUGAAUGUUUGGAUUUCAUUUCUUCCAAACAACUACAUCGUGGUGGAGUUGAUUCACCUUCGUGGCGCUCAGGAGCUCAGCCUGAUGACAUUGUAAUCAAGGCAACAGGUGGUGGAGCAUACAAGUAUGCGGAUCUCUUCAAGGAGAGAUUGGGAGUCAGCCUUGAAAAGGAAGAUGAAAUGGACUGUCUUGUAGCUGGAGCAAACUUUUUGCUUAAGGCUAUACGUCAUGAAGCUUUUACACACAUGGAUGGCCAAAAGGAAUACGUGCAGAUUGAUCAGAAUGAUUUGUUUCCCUUCCUUCUUGUUAAUGUUGGAUCUGGUGUCAGCAUAAUCAAGGUUGAUGGGUAUGGGAAGUUUCAGCGAGUAAGUGGGACAAAUGUUGGUGGUGGUACAUACUGGGGAUUGGGGAGGUUGAUGACGAAGUGCAAGAGUUUUGAUGAGUUGCUAGAGUUGAGCCAGCGUGGAGACAACAGCACCAUUGACAUGCUUGUAGGAGACAUAUAUGGCGGUCUGGACUACUCCAAGAUUGGCCUUUCAGCAUCAACUAUCGCCUCUAGUUUUGGGAAGACAAUUUCAGAAAACAAGGAGCUGUCAGAUUAUAGACCUGAGGAUAUUUCACUCUCUCUAUUACGAAUGAUUUCGUAUAACAUUGGCCAGAUUUCUUAUCUUAAUGCACUUCGUUAUGGACUCAAGAGGAUAUUCUUUGGUGGAUUCUUCAUUCGUGGCCAUGCCUACACCAUGGACACAAUUUCUUUUGCAGUACAUUUCUGGUCAAAAGGAGAGGCAAAAGCCAUGUUUCUGCGCCAUGAGGGCUUUCUAGGAGCACUUGGUGCAUUUAUGAGUUAUGAGAAGCAUGGUCUUGAUGACUUGAGGGUGCAUCAUUUGGUCGAACGCUUCCCAAUGGGUGCUCCAUAUGUUGGUGGAAAGAUUCACGGCCCCCCUCUCGGAGAUCUUAAUGAAAAGAUAUCAUGGAUGGAGAAAUUUGUCCAGAAGGGUACUCAGAUUACUGCUCCUGUACCUAUGGGAGUUCCUGCUACAACAGGUAUGGGAGGCUUUGAAAGGCCUACUUCUAAGGGCAACAUUUUGCGGUCAGAUGCCAGUGCAGCUCUAAAUGUUGGUGUUCUCCAUCUUGUACCCACAUUGGAUGUGUUUCCGUUGUUAGAAGAUCCAAAGACGUAUGAACCAAACACAAUUGACCUCGACCAGGAUGAGUUCAAGUACUGGUUCACUAUUUUGUCAGACCAUUUGCCGGACCUUGUAGACAAGGCAGUUGCUAGUGAAGGUGGGACUGAUGAUGCCAAAAGGCGGGGAGAUGCAUUUGCACAUGCUUUUUCUGCUCAUCUAGCAAGGUUGAUGGAGGAGCCUGCUGCUUAUGGGAAGUUUGGUUUAGCCAACCUAUUGGAGUUGAGAGAAGAAUGUCUGAGAGAAUUUCAGUUUGUUGAUGCGUAUAUUAGCAUCAAGCAAAGGGAAAAUGAAGCUUCGCUGGCUGUUUUACCUGAUCUUCUCAUGGAACUUGAUAGUAUGAACGAGGAAGCUAGGCUGCUUGUACUAAUUGAAGGUGUCCUUGCUGCAAACAUAUUUGAUUGGGGAUCCCGAGCUUGUGUGGACCUUUAUCACAAGGGAACUAUAAUAGAAAUCUAUCGCAUGAGUCGCAAGAAGAUGCAACGUCCUUGGCGGAUCGAUGACUUUGAUGUGUUCAAAAAGAGAAUGCUUACUGAUAAGAAGGACCAACCAUACAAAAGAGCACUGCUUUUUGUUGAUAACUCGGGUGCUGAUGUGGUCCUUGGAAUGCUUCCUUUAGCACGGGAACUUUUACGCCAUGGAACAGAGGUAGUUCUGGUUGCAAAUUCAUUGCCGGCUCUGAAUGAUGUUACCGCUAAUGAACUUCCAGAAAUUAUAGCUGAAGCCUCAAAGCACUGUGGUAUCCUUCGCAAAGCUGCAGAAGCUGGCGGACUGAUAGUUGAUGCAAUGGCUGGCAUCCAAGAUGAUUUCAAGGAUGAACCAGUGUCAGUGCCACUAAUGGUUGUUGAGAAUGGAUGUGGCAGUCCAUGUAUUGAUUUCCGGCAGGUUAGCUCAGAGCUUGCUGCUGCUGCGAAGGAUGCAGAUUUGGUAAUUUUAGAGGGCAUGGGGCGAGCACUACAUACGAACCUCAAUGCCCAUUUUAAGUGUGAUGCUCUUAAGCUUGCUAUGGUGAAGAAUCAGAGGUUGGCAGAAAAGCUUUUCAAUGGAAAUAUAUACGACUGCAUCUGUAAAUUCGAACCAGUUUCCUAGCAAUACGGGAGUGGAUGCAGAGGAUUUGUUUGAACAUCUUGCAGCUACUUGCAGAAGCGACUAGUUCGUUUGCAACCUGUUAGACGACUGCAUCUGUAAAUUCGAACCAGUUUCCUAGCAAUACGGGAGUGGAUGCAGAGGAUUUGUUUGAACAUCUUGCAGCUACUUGCAGAAGCGACUAGUUCGUUUGCAACCUGUUAGACGACCCCGGAAUGAUCCUUUUCAAUACACCAGUUGAUACUCCUUAAAUGCUGAACAGUAAAAAAAGAUUUAGCUGUUGUUUGUGGUAGCAAUUCCUAAGGUCAUUCAGAACGAUUGAGAAGCCAGCUAGUUUCCAAGGACCCGAAAGUCAGAACUCAUAAGUGAGUUUGAAAUUGCAUUUCCUCCCUGAAACAUGCUCUCAACUCAAUCCAAUAAAAUGUGAUGUGCUUUGGUGCCUA